GGCCAUCAGGGACUCAGGAUUUGAGAAAAUGUCUAUAUAAAGAUGGAUGAAAAAAAUGUUCAGCUUUGACCAUUCUUAGACACAGGGUUUCCCAAACCACUUCCCCGAUUGUAAAUCUUAUUUGCUCGUUGACUUAGGAAUCAUCUCUUGAGCACUUACUAUGAAGAUGGUACUCUGCCACCCUGGUGAUACAGACAUGUCCAGACACAGCCGCUCCCCCUCCUGCAGCUUUUGAUAUGGAAGAUAGAUGCAUUUUUAAAAAAAAGUCACGUAAGAGGGUUAAAAGAAGAGGGCUGGGUUCUAAGAAGGAAGCAACUAAUUAACAGAAAUGACACAUGCCCAGGAAGGGCUCUUCAAGCUAAAGGAAGAACUGGUGCAUGGCCCCAGUGCAGCAGUAACUAAUCCACUUGCAAGGAACACUGUGGCCAAAUAGCUGGAGGACGGUGUGGUAGCAAGCGCCUAUGAUUCCAGCUCAGAGGUGACAGUGUGGGGAGACAGAGGCAGGGGAAUUCCUGGGCCUCUCUGGCCAAUUGUCUUUGCCAAGCUCCAGGCCAAGAAGAAACCAUCUCCAAAAAAAAUGUAAAUGGCAUUCCUGCAGAACAAUGCCCAAGGUUGUCUUCUGGUCUCCAUCCACAGUGCUGGUGUGAAUGCACACACACAACCAUGAGAGAGACAGAAACAGGGGAGACACAGAGCAGGGCAGAGAUAUCUCCCCAGGCUGGUCUACAGGAAGGUCUGUCUUUUAGAAAGGGGGUGAGGUGGGAAAUAGCUGGCAUACUCAGGGAAUCCCAGCACUCCAGGAAGCAGAGGCAGGAGAAGUUCAUGUUCAAAGCCCGCUUAAGGUACACAGUGAGACACUGUCUUAAAAAAGUAAGUGAGAUGCCAGGCGGUGGUGGCUCACGCCUUUAAUCCCAGCACUCGGGAGGCAG